rnacentral:tRNA from 1 species
GGGGGCAUAGCUCAGCUGGUUAGAGCGCUUGCUUCACACGCAAGAGGUCACAGGUUCGAGUCCUGUUGUCCCCACCA